UUUUUNNNNNNCCUCGUACNAUUNCCCUUGAGUUGAUCAUGGCUCAGGAUGAACGCUAGCGGCAGGCCUAAUACAUGCAAGUCGAGGGGCAGCACGGUGGCAAUACUGGUGGCGACCGGCGCACGGGUGCGUAACACGUAUACAAUCUGCCUUUAACAGGGGGAUAGCCCGGAGAAAUCCGGAUUAAUACCCCAUAACAAUGGAGUUGGCAUCAAUUCUAUUUAAAAGUUCCGACGGUUAAAGAUGAGUAUGCGUCUGAUUAGCUAGUUGGUGAGGUAACGGCUCACCAAGGCGACGAUCAGUAGGGGAUCUGAGAGGAUUAACCCCCACACGGAUACUGAGACACGGAUCCGACUCCUACGGGAGGCAGCAGUAAGGAAUAUUGGACAAUGCCCGCAAGGGUGAUCCAGCCAUGCCGCGUGCAGGAAGACGGCCCUAUGGGUUGUAAACUGCUUUUGUACCGGAGAAAACCUCCCCUCGUGAGGGGAGCUGAUAGUAUGGUAAGAAUAAGCAUCGGCUAACUUCGUGCCAGCAGCCGCGGUAAGACGAAGGAUGCAAGCGUUAUCCGGAUUCAUUGGGUUUAAAGGGAGCGUAGGUGGUCUUAUAAGUCAGUGGUGAAAUCUCUCAGCUUAACUGAGAAAUUGCCAUUGAUACUGUAGGACUUGAGUAUAGUUGCCGUUGGCGGAAUAUGACAUGUAGUGGUGAAAUACAUAGAGAUGUCAUAGAACACCGAUUGCGAAGGCAGCUGACGAAACUAUAACUGACACUGAGGCUCGAAAGUGCGGGGAUCAACAGGAU
rnacentral:rRNA from 1 species